CACGAAGUUAGCCGGGGCUUAUUCUUCCGGUACCGUCAUUAUCGUCCCGGACAAAAGAGCUUUACAACCCUAAGGCCUUCAUCACUCACGCGGCAUGGCUGGAUCAGGCUUGCGCCCAUUGUCCAAUAUUCCCCAUGCUGCCUCCCGUAGGAGUCUGGGCCGUGUCUCAGUCUCAGUGUGGCUGAUCAUCCUCUCAGACCAGCUACUGAUCGUCGCCUUGGUAGCCAUUACCCCACCAACUAGCUAAUCAGACGCGGGCCGAUCCUUCGGCAGCAAGCCUUUCCCCAAAAGGGCGUAUCCCGGUAUUAGCGCUAGUUUCCCAGCGUUAUUCCGAACCAAAGGGUACGUUCCCACGUGUUACUCACCCGUCUGCCGCUGACCCCGAAGGGCCCGCUCGACUUGCAUGUGUUAAGCCCUGCCCGCCAGCGUCGUCUCUGAGCCAGGAUCAAAACUCCUA
rnacentral:rRNA from 1 species